UACGUAGGGUGCAAGCAUUAAUCGGAAUUACUGGGCGUAAAGCGUGCGCAGGCGGUGAUGUAAGACAGGUGUGAAAUCCCCGGGCUUAACCUGGGAACUGCAUUUGUGACUGCGUCGCUGGAGUGCGGCAGAGGGGGAUGGAAUUCCGCGUGUAGCAGUGAAAUGCGUAGAUAUGCGGAGGAACACCGAUGGCGAAGGCAAUCCCCUGGGCCUGCACUGACGCUCAUGCACGAAAGCGUGGGGAGCAAACAGG
rnacentral:rRNA from 1 species